UCCAAAUACCCCACUGAAUUCAAUUAAGAUAGUGAAAUGUUCUUAAGAAUAUAAUAGUCUGUCCUGGGCUGUCUUGCAGAACUUAAAAAUAAUUAAUGGUGUUUUGAAUCUGUUGAUGUAUUUAUUUGCACUCCUGUAGUAAUUUACAGUCAUGAAAGCUAAAUUGUGACUUAACUUUUUUCCUCUCUCAGUAGGCUUUUUCAGAUGUAUUGACCAGAUGUCCUGGAAGUGGCCCCUGAUGCAGACCCAGUUGUUGGGUAGCCACCCAUGCACGUUGACACAGCCCCCAGCAGUGGGCACCCAUGGGGAUGGACCCAGGAGUGGAGGAUGACCCAAUAGGUGGUGGGUAGCCACCCAUGCACGUUGACACAGCCAGCAGCGAGUACCCAGAGCGAUGGACCCAGAAGUGGAGGAUAAUCCAAUAGG